rnacentral:lncRNA from 1 species
GGUGAAUGAAUAAUCAGAAGUGUAACGACGUAAAGGUGGACCAAACGACGGGCGACUGAGCUGAUAUCAUAAUCGCCACUCAUUUGCCAAAAUAGGCGCAUCUGGCUAUUCCCAUGUGCCUAUUAUAACAUAACCAGAUCAUAACUCCCAAAAUAGCCCCCACCCCAUGUGACUUGUCCCUCUCAUCUCAUAUCGACGACGACGCAUUUUCCAAAAGACCACUCUUACCAAAAUACCCUUCAACGAACUUUACCUCUCCACCGAACACAAACUCUCGGUGCAUUUCAAAAUCCUAUAAAAUCCCCC